rnacentral:rRNA from 1 species
CCUACGGGGGGCAGCAGUGAGGGAUAUUGCUCAAUGGGGGAAACCCUGAACCAGCAACGCCGCGUGAGGGAAGACGGUUUUCGGAUUGUAAACCCCUGUCCUUUGUGAAGAUAAUGACGGUAUCAAACGAGUAAGCACCGGCUAACUACGUGCCAGCAGCCGCGGUAAUACGUAGGGUGCAAGCGUUACCCGGAUUUACUGGGUGUAAAGGGUGCGUAGGCGGCAUAGCAAGUCAGAAGUGAAAUCCAUGGGCUUAACCCGUGAACUGCGUUUGAAACUGUAGGUCUUGAGUGAAGUAGAGGCAGGCGGAAUUCCCGGUGUAGCGGUGAAAUGCGUAGAGAUCGGGAGGAAUACCAGUGGCGAAGGCGGCCUGCUGGGAUUUAACUGACGCUGAAGCGCGAAAGCGUGGGUAGCAAACAGGAUUAGAUACCCGGGUAGUC